GGUUGCGGCGGUCUGCAGGGCCGCUUUAAGGCGGAAGGAGCCGGCGGGUUGGGCGGGGCGCAGCGUGCCUAUAUAAAGGAGCCGAAAGGGGGUUGCGGGCUCUUUUUAGCACCACCCGGCUGCAGGCGCGGAGAUGCCCGAGGAAGUGCAGCAUGGAGAGGAGGAGGUGGAGACGUUCGCCUUCCAGGCGGAGAUCGCUCAGCUCAUGUCGCUGAUCAUCAACACGUUCUAUUCCAACAAGGAGAUCUUCCUGCGGGAGCUCAUCUCCAACGCCUCCGACGCGCUGGAUAAGAUCCGCUAUGAGAGCCUGACCGAGCCAUCCAAGCUGGACAGCGGCAAGGACCUCAAGAUAGACAUCGUGCCCAACCCGCGGGAACGCACGCUCACCUUGUUGGACACCGGGAUCGGGAUGACCAAGGCUGAUCUCAUCAAUAACCUGGGCACCAUCGCCAAAUCGGGCACCAAAGCCUUCAUGGAGGCUUUGCAGGCAGGUGCAGACAUCUCCAUGAUUGGGCAGUUUGGUGUGGGUUUCUACUCUGCCUACCUGGUGGCUGAGAAGGUAGUUGUCAUUACCAAGCACAACGAUGACGAGCAGUAUGCUUGGGAGUCAUCAGCUGGGGGCUCCUUCACUGUCCGGACUGACCGUGGUGAGCCCAUUGGACGGGGCACCAAAGUGAUCCUGUAUUUGAAGGAGGACCAGACAGAGUAUUUGGAGGAGAGGCGUGUCAAGGAGGUGGUGAAGAAGCACUCCCAGUUCAUUGGAUACCCCAUCACCCUUUAUGUGGAGAAGGAGCGUGAGAAAGAGAUCAGUGAUGAUGAGGCAGAGGAGGAGAAAGCUGAGAAAGAAGAGGAAGAGUCCAAGGAUGAGGAGAAACCAAAAAUUGAGGAUGUGGGCUCUGAUGAGGAGGAGGAGGGAGACAAAGGCAAGAAGAAAAAGACCAAGAAAAUUAAGGAGAAAUACAUUGACCAGGAGGAGCUGAACAAGACCAAACCUAUUUGGACCCGCAACCCUGAUGACAUCACCCAAGAGGAGUAUGGCGAGUUCUACAAAAGCCUCACCAAUGACUGGGAGGAUCAUCUGGCGGUCAAGCACUUCUCCGUGGAAGGGCAGCUGGAGUUCAGGGCCCUGCUCUUCAUCCCACGCCGUGCUCCUUUUGACCUUUUCGAGAACAAGAAGAAGAAGAACAAUAUUAAGCUUUAUGUGAGGCGUGUCUUCAUUAUGGACAGCUGCGAUGAGCUCAUUCCUGAAUACCUGAACUUCAUCCGAGGCGUUGUAGACUCAGAAGAUUUACCUCUGAACAUAUCUCGUGAGAUGUUGCAGCAGAGCAAAAUCCUCAAGGUGAUCCGCAAAAACAUUGUCAAAAAGUGCUUGGAGCUCUUCAGUGAGUUGGCAGAGGACAAGGAGAACUACAAGAAGUUCUAUGAGGCCUUUUCCAAGAAUCUGAAGCUGGGCAUCCAUGAGGACUCAACAAACCGAAAGCGCCUUUCAGAGCUGCUGCGCUACCACACAUCUCAGUCAGGUGAUGAGAUGACUUCACUUGCAGAGUAUGUGUCCCGUAUGAAGGAGUCGCAGAAGAGUAUCUACUACAUCACAGGGGAGAGCAAGGAACAGGUCGCCAACUCAGCCUUUGUGGAGCGUGUGCGGAAGCGUGGCUUCGAGGUGGUGUACAUGACAGAGCCUAUCGAUGAAUACUGCGUGCAGCAGCUCAAGGAGUUUGAUGGGAAGACCCUUGUGUCAGUUACUAAGGAGGGACUGGAGCUACCUGAGGAUGAGGAGGAGAAAAAGAAGAUGGAGGAGAGCAAAGCCAAGUUUGAGACUCUUUGCAAACUCAUGAAGGAAAUCUUGGACAAGAAAGUGGAGAAGAGGAGCCGCUAAAGGAGACUGAAGGUCCCAGCAUGCACUGCACCAUCUUGCUCUAAGCAGCCAGGCUGCAGGCGAGGGGCACUGACCCAAAUACGUGCAUUGAUGGGAGACGGUAACUGUCUCAAACCGGUUGGUCUCAUCUCCCUGCUGCAUCGUCACCAGCACGUAUGGUUGGACAGCAAACAUGGAGCGCAUCAUGAAGGCUCAGGCACUGCGUGACAACUCUACCAUGGGCUACAUGAUGGCGAAGAAACACUUGGAAAUCAACCCUGACCACCCGAUUGUGGAAACGCUCCGUCAGAAGGCUGAUGCUGACAAGAAUGACAAAGCUGUCAAAGACCUGGUGGUUCUACUCUUUGAGACUGCUCUGCUGUCCUCCGGCUUCUCCCUGGAAGAUCCUCAGACCCACUCCAACCGCAUCUACAGGAUGAUCAAAUUGGGGCUUGGUAUUGAUGAAGAUGAGGUGAUCACAGAAGAGUCCAACACGGCUCCUUCUGAUGAAAUCCCACCCCUGGAGGGAGAUGAAGACACAUCCCGCAUGGAAGAGGUGGACUAAGGAAGGAAGUCUCUUCCAUCUCCUGCCUCUGUCCAGUCUCAUGGCUGUUUAGAAGAGGGGUCUCUGGUCCCACCAGCUGCUGCUGGCUCCUUAGUGGUGUCUUCUGUUUUUAUUUUUCCUUUUUUGUAGUGGGGAAUGGAGACAGGACUCCCUGUUUGUCAGUAAUGAGCAAGUCAGGCAGCCCUAGGCACAUCUACUGUGUGCAUUUCUACUUGUGUAACAUCAUCUAAUGAGGAAUGGAUUUGUGGAGGGGUCAGUCUUUCUCACGCCCCAUGGGAUCUCCUGUGCUCAGCUGAGGUGAGUCCUCCUCUCUCCAGCCCCCCAGAGUAGGACUGUAUUUUGUUUGGCUUGGUUACUUUUCAUUGAUUUUCCUGAUGUUUUGUUCUACUGAAAUAAAAGUGUCAAAAGAACAAGGUUUACA